UACGUAGGUGGCAAGCGUUGUCCGGAAUUAUUGGGCGUAAAGCGCGCGCAGGUGGUUCUUUAAGUCUGAUGUGAAAGCCCACGGCUCAACCGUGGAGGGUCAUUGGAAACUGGGGAACUUGAGUGCAGAAGAGGAAAGUGGAAUUCCAAGUGUAGCGGUGAAAUGCGUAGAGAUUUGGAGGAACACCAGUGGCGAAGGCGAACUUUCUGGUCUGUAACUGACACUGAGGCGCGAAAGCGUGGGGAGCAAACAGGG
rnacentral:rRNA from 1 species